AGCCGUUUUCGGUGGCAGUCUCGGUAAAAGUCCUUUGGAAUAGGGCAUCACAGAGGGGAGAAUCCCGUCUUUGACUGAGAAUAUGCUACUAUGUGAUACGUUUUCAAAGAGUCGAGUUGUUUGGGAAUGCAGCUCAAAAUGGGUGGUAAAUUUCAUCUAAAGCUAAAUAUUGGCGAGAGACCGAUAGCGAACAAGUACCGUGAGGGAAAGAUGAAAAGAACUUUGAAAAGAGAGUUAAACAGUGCGUGAAAUUGUUGAAAGGGAAACGCUUGAAACCAGUCAUGCGGCUGGGAAAUCAGUCUCUGACGAGGGGGAAUGGGAGAGGUGUGGACCGCAAGGCUGCUCUUUUUCAUAUCUUUUUCGGCAGGGAUGCACUUUUUCUUCCGCAGGUCAACAUCAGUUUGCUUUGCCGGACAAAACUCUUGGGAAGGUGACAGCUUAGGCUGUGUUAUAGCCCUGGAGCGAUACGGUGGAGCGGACUGAGGUUUUCGCAGCAUGUGCUCUCGGGCAAGGCUGAUUGGGUGCUAUGAGAUCGUUCAGGGUACAAUACAUGUAUUUUGCCUUGUGUCUUUUUUAUACUCGCUCAACUCGGCUCUUCCAUGCUUAGGAUGUUGACAUAAUGGUUUUAAUCGACCCGUCUUGAAACACGGACCAAGGAGUCUAACAUAUAUGCAAGUGUUUGGGUGGCAAACCCAUGCGCGUAAUGAAAGUGAACGUAGGUGCGAUCCGCAAGGUGCAGCAUCGACCGAUCUUGAUAUUUUUGGAUAGAUUUGAGUAAGAGCAUAUAUGCUGGGACCCGAAAGAUGGUGAACUAUGCCUGAAUAGGGUGAAGCCAGAGGAAACUCUGGUGGAGGCUCGUAGCGAUUCUGACGUGCAAAUCGAUCGUCAAAUUUGGGUAUAGGGGCGAAAGACUAAUCGAACCAUCAGUGUUGCCAC
rnacentral:rRNA from 1 species